UAAUAAGUGUUUUAUGGCACUUUUUAAAUCCAUAUCCACCUUGUGUGCAAUGUCAGUCGAUCUUCUUCAUGGAGAUCGACCAAACAUCAACCUUUAUCUUUUAACAUCUUGUCUGAAAAAUAUUAUGAAUAAACAAUUCAAAAUA
rnacentral:misc_RNA from 1 species